CAGGACGAACGCUGGCGGCGUGCCUAACACAUGCAAGUCGAGCGAGGAGAUCCUCGGGAUGAUCCUAGCGGCGGACGGGUGAGUAACACGUGGGCAACCUGCCUCAUAGAGAGGAAUAGCCCUUCCGAAAGGAGAUUAAUACCUCAUAACAUUGCAGUUUCGCAUGGAACAGCAAUUAAAGGAGUAAUCCGCUAUGAGAUGGGCCCGCGGCGCAUUAGCUAGUUGGUGAGGUAACGGCUCACCAAGGCGACGAUGCGUAGCCGACCUGAGAGGGUGAUCGGCCACAUUGGGACUGAGACACGGCCCAGACUCCUACGGGAGGCAGCAGUGGGGAAUAUUGCACAAUGGGGGAAACCCUGAUGCAAGCAACGCCGCGUGAGUGAUGACGGCCUUCGGGUUGUAAAGCUCUGUCUUCAGGGACGAUAAUGACGGUACCUGAGGAGGAAGCCACGGCUAACUACGUGCCAGCCGCUGC
rnacentral:rRNA from 1 species